rnacentral:rRNA from 1 species
GGGUUUACCCAUUGGUCAGGCUUAAUUGUCUGCACUGGUGAGAUGAAUCUCUACCUUCUGAGGAACUUUCAUGCCAUUUAUUUGGUGUGAUGGGAAAUCAGGACUGUUACUUUGAAAAAAUUAGAGUGUUUAAAGCAGGCUAACGUCUGAAUACAUUAGCAUGGAAUAAUGAAAUAGGACGGACUGAUUCUAUUUCGUUGGUUUCUAGGAUCACCGUAAUGAUUAAUAGGGAUAGUUGGG